AUGCACGCUGGCGGCGUGCCUAAUACCUGCCAGUCGAGCGAACAGACGAGGAGCUUGCUCCUCUGAUGUUAGCGGCGGACGGGUGAGUAACACGUGGAUAACCUACCUAUAAGACUGGGAUAACUUCGGGAAACCGGAGCUAAUACCGGAUAACAUGUUGAACCGCAUGGUUCAACAGUGAAAGACGGUCUUGCUGUCACUUAUAGCUGGAUCCGCGCCGCAUUAGCUAGUUGGUAAGGUAACGGCUUACCAAGGCAACGAUGCGUAGCCGACCUGAGAGGGUGAUCGGCCACACUGGAACUGAGACACGGUCCAGACUCCUACGGGAGGCAGCAGUAGGGAAUCUUCCGCAAUGGGCGAAAGCCUGACGGAGCAACGCCGCGUGAGUGAAGAAGGUCUUCGGAUCGUAAAACUCUGUUAUUAGGGAAGAACAAAUGUGUAAGUAACUAUGCACGUCUUGACGGUACCUAAUCAGAAAGCCACGGCUAACUACGUG
rnacentral:rRNA from 1 species